rnacentral:rRNA from 1 species
UACGUAGGGUGCAAGCGUUAAUCGGAAUUACUGGGCGUAAAGCGUGCGUAGACGGUUAUUUAAGUCGAAUGUGAAAGCCCCCGGCUCAACUGGGGAGGGUCAUUCGAUACUGUUCGACUCGAAGGCAGGAGAGGGAAGUGGAAUUCCGGGUGUAGUGGUGAAAUGCGUAGAUAUCCGGAGGAACACCAGUGGCGAAGGCGACUUUCUGGCCUGUUCUUGACGCUGAGGCGCGAAAGCUAGGGGAGCAAACGGG